rnacentral:rRNA from 1 species
GACGAACGCUGGCGGCGUGCUUAACACAUGCAAGUCGAACGGAAAGGCCCUGCUUUUGUGGGGUGCUCGAGUGGCGAACGGGUGAGUAACACGUGAGUAACCUGCCCUUGACUUUGGGAUAACUUCAGGAAACUGGGGCUAAUACCGGAUAGGAGCUCCUGCUGCAUGGUGGGGGUUGGAAAGUUUCGGCGGUUGGGGAUGGACUCGCGGCUUAUCAGCUUGUUGGUGGGGUAGUGGCUUACCAAGGCUUUGACGGGUAGCCGGCCUGAGGGGGUGACCGGCCACAUUGGGACUGAGAUACGGCCCAGACUCCUACGGGAGGCAGCAGUGGAGAAUAUUGCACAAUGGGCGGAAGCCUGAUGCAGCAACGCCGCGUGCGGGAUGACGGCCUUCGGGUUGUAAACCGCUUUCGCCUGUGACGAAGCGUGAGUGACGGUAAUGGGUAAAGAAGCACCGGCUAACUACGUG